CAGCAGCCACGGUAAUACGUAGGUGGCAAGCGUUGUCCGGAAUUAUUGGGCGUAAAGGGCUCGCAGGCGGUUUCUUAAGUCUGAUGUGAAAGCCCCCGGCUCAACCGGGGAGGGUCAUUGGGAACUGGGAAACUUGAGUGCAGAAGAGGAGAGUGGAAUUCCACGUGUAGCGGUGAAAUGCGCAGAGAUGUGGAGGAACACCAGAGGCGAAGGCGACUCUCUGGUCUGUAACUGACGCUGAGGAGCGAAAGCGUGGGGAGCGAACAGGAUUAGAUACCCCCGUAGUCCCUGUCUCUUAUAC
rnacentral:rRNA from 1 species